rnacentral:rRNA from 1 species
GUGUCAGCCGCCGCGGUAACACGGGGGGAGCAAACGUUGUUCGGAAUCACUGGGCGUAAAGGGCGCGUAGGCGGCCCCGUAAGUGGUGUGUGAAAUGCCCUGGCUCAACCAGGGAAUAGCGCUCCAAACUGCGGGGAUUGAGGACAGUAGAGGAAGCUGGAAUUCCAGGUGUAGCGGUGAAAUGCGUAGAUAUCUGGAGGAACACCGUUGGCGAAGGCGAGCUUCUGGGCUGUUCCUGACGCUGAAGCGCGAAAGCUGGGGGAGCAAACAGGAUUAGAAACCCUUGUAGUCC